AGAGACAGCAGCCGCCGCGGGAAUACGAAGGGGGCUAGCGUUGUUCGGAAUUACUGGGCGUAAAGCGCACGUAGGCGGACAUUUAAGUCAGGGGUGAAAUCCCGGGGCUCAACCCCGGAACUGCCUUUGAUACUGGGUGUCUAGAGUAUGGAAGAGGUGAGUGGAAUUCCGAGUGUAGAGGUGAAAUUCGUAGAUAUUCGGAGGAACACCAGUGGCGAAGGCGGCUCACUGGUCCAUUACUGACGCUGAGGUGCGAAAGCGUGGGGAGCAAACAGGAUUAGAUACCCCAGUAGUCCCUGUCUCUUAUAC
rnacentral:rRNA from 1 species